rnacentral:rRNA from 1 species
GAUGAACGCUGGCGGCGUGCUUAACACAUGCAAGUCGAACGAUGAAGCCCAGCUUGCUGGGUGGAUUAGUGGCGAACGGGUGAGUAACACGUGAGUAACCUGCCCUUAACUCUGGGAUAAGCCUGGGAAAAUGGGUCUAAUACCGGAUAGGAGCGUCCACCGCAUGGUGGGUGUUGGAAAGAUUUAUCGGUUUUGGAUGGACUCGCGGCCUAUCAGCUUGUUGGUGGGGUAAUGGCUCACCAAGGCGACGACGGGUAGCCGGCCUGAGAGGGUGACCGGCCACAUUGGGACUGAGACACGGCCCAGACUCCUACGGGAGGCAGCAGUGGGGAAUAUUGCACAAUGGGCGCAAGCCUGAUGCAGCGACGCCGCGUGAGGGAUGACGGCCUUCGGGUUGUAAACCUCUUUCAGUAGGGAAGAAGCGAAAGUGACGGUACCUGCAGAAGAAGCACCGGCUAACUACGUG